AAAUUGAAGAGUUUGAUCAUGGCUCAGAUUGAACGCUGGCGGCAGGCCUAACACAUGCAAGUCGAACGGUAACAGGAAGCAGCUUGCUGCUUUGCUGACGAGUGGCGGACGGGUGAGUAAUGUCUGGGAAACUGCCUGAUGGAGGGGGAUAACUACUGGAAACGGUGGCUAAUACCGCAUAAUGUCGCAAGACCAAAGAGGG
rnacentral:rRNA from 1 species